rnacentral:rRNA from 1 species
UACGGAGGGUGCGAGCGUUGUCCGGAAUCAUUGGGCGUAAAGGGCGCGUAGGUGGCCCGGUAAGCGUGCGGUGAAAGCUUGGGGCUCAACCCCGAGUCGGCCGUGCGAACUGCUGGGCUUGAGCACUGUAGAGGCAGGCGGAAUUCCGGGUGUCGCGGUGGAAUGCGUAGAGAUCCGGAAGAACACCGGUGGCGAAGGCGGCCUGCUGGGCAGUGGCUGACACUGAGGCGCGACAGCGUGGGGAGCAAACAGG